UCUUAAAGAUUAAGCCAUGCAAGUGUAAGUACGGCCCUACUCUUCGAGGGGGCGAGACUGCGGACGGCUCAUUAAAUCAGUUAUGAUUCCCAGGAGCCAGAACCACUUACUUGGAUAACUGUGGCAAUUCUAGAGCUAAUACAUGCACUUCAAGCUCCACCUGCCCCGUUCGCGGGGCGGGAGGUUGCGCACCUGUUAGCCUCGAAAGGCGGCGGCUUCGGCCCCGUCGAAAGGAGAUGAAUUCUGGACAGCUUUGCCGAUCGCACGGCCUCUUGUGCCGGCGACGUACCUUUCAAGUGUCUGACCUAUCAUACUAGAUGGUUUGCGAUCUGCGCACCAUGGUUGCAACGGGUGACGGGGAAUCAGGGUUCGAUUCCGGAGAGGGAGCAUGAGAAACGGCUGCCACAUCCAAGGAAGGCAGCAGGCACGCAACUUACCCAAUGCCGACACGGCGAGGUAGUGACGAAAAAUACCAAUACGGGAGCCGCUACACGCGGUCCCGCAAUUGAAAUGAGUACACUCUAAAUCCUUUAACGAGGAUCUAUUGGAGGGCAAGUCUGGUGCCAGCAGCCGCGGUAAUUCCAGCUCCAAUAGCGUAUGUCAAUGCUGCUGCGGUUGAAACGCUCGGAGUUGGAUCUCGGUGACGGGCCGACGGUCUCGCUCUCGGAGCGAUGCACGGUCGGCGAUAGGGGAGGGUUUAACCGCUCUCCCUUGCCUCCGUCCCUCUGUCCGGAAUGUAUUUGUCCUAGCCCGGGUGCUCUUGACUGAGUCGCUCGGUGCCUGGCCGGACGCUUCACUGUGAAAAAAUUAGAGUGCUCAAAGCAGGCCUCAGUGCCGGUAUAUCGCUGCAUGGAAUGAUAGAGAAGGACCUCGGCGCGUGCCCUCUGGGUGCGGCGCACGAGGUAAUGAUUAAGAGGGACUGCCGGGGGCAUACGUACUGCGGCGCGAGAGGUGAAAUUCUGUGACCGUCGCAGGACGAGCUAAAGCGAAGGCAUUUGCCAAGAAUGUCUUCAUUAAUCCAGAACGAAAGUCAGAGGCUCGAAGACGAUCAGAUACCGUCGUAGUUCUGACCGUAAACUCUGCCUACUGGCAAUCCGCCGACGGUAUCUCAACGACUCGGCGAGCGGCCUACGGGAAACCAAAGUGUUUGGGUUCCGGGGGGAGUACGGUCGCAAGGCUGAAACUUAAAGGAAUUGACGGAAGGGCACCACCAGGAGUGGAGCCUGUGGCUUAAUUUGACUCAACACGGGAAACCUCACCCGGUCCGGACACUGGUAGGAUUGACAGACUAACGCUCUUUCUUAAUUCAGUGGGUGGUGGUGCAUGGCCGUUCUUAGUUGGUGGAGUGAUUUGUCUGGUUAAUUCCGAUAACGAACGAGACUCUUGCCUGCUAAAUAGUUCGGGGACCUAGGUCCGUCCGCUCUGCGGGGGACCUGCUUCGGGUCACUCGAUCGCUCUACGGAGCCAACUUCUUAGAGGCACAAGUGGCGCUUAGCCACACGAAACGGAGCAAUAACAGGUCUGUGAUGCCCUUAGAUGUCCGGGGCCGCACAUGCGCUACAAUGGCUGCAUCAGCGCGAGUCUCUCCUGAAAGGGCGAGGAAACCGCUCAACCGCAGUCCCGGUUGGGAUUGGGGGCUGCAAGUGUCCCCCAUGAACACGGAAUUCCUAGUAGGCGCCAGUCAUCAGCUGGCGUCGAUUGAGUCCCUGCCCUUUGUACACACCGCCCGUCGCUACUACCGAUCGCUCUCGUUAAUGAGCCCGUCGGAUUGGACCCGGUGGGGCGCGUUCGCGUGCCCCGCGUCCUGGUGUUUGCCGAGAAGAUGGGCGAAUUAUCGGGAGUAGAGGAAGUAAAAGUCGUAACAA
rnacentral:rRNA from 1 species